AUGCUCACUUUUGCAGCACAUGUAUCAAAAGUGGAAUGAUACAGAGAUUAGCAUGGCCUGUGCACAAGGAUGACACUCAAAUUGGUGAAGUGUCCCAUAUUUUC
rnacentral:snRNA from 1 species